CCCUAGCCCCGAUGGGAGGGAAAAUCCUUUUGUGGUGCGGUUCACCACAAAAGAUUGGAAGGAACAGCGGGAAACAGC
rnacentral:sRNA from 1 species